UCCGCCUCCUCCUUCAUCCUCGCCCUAAUUUGCUCUAGUUAAUUUGAUCCUCUUCAACCGUUAAUCAAUUUCAAGGUUUCAACUAAGUCCAAUAAAAAUCAAGGAAUUCUUGUUUCACCUGGUUCUGAUUCGUCUUGGGAAGGUUACGACGAGGUUAGAUCCAAACAUCGUAACGAUCCAGCAGUGAUGAAUAAGCUACGUGAGAAAUUGAAGUCGAAAGCUACAGUUAAACAUGCACCCAAAGAAGUAGACAACAAGAUUGAAGGGGUUACAACACGCCCUAAUCUCCCAAAGGGAAUGAAAUACGUCAUCAAGAAGAUCCCGUCCCACACAUUGAGAUUCGAAACUAUAAGAGCCAAUCAUACCUUAUCUCAAUCUUCUAUCCAUAAAUAGCUGAUGUGCAUUAACUAUUCUAUAGCUAAAGUUAUGUAUCAGAUACAUAACUUAUGUAUCAGCAAAAGUGAAAAAAUAAUUGAAAUCAACUUCGGUUUGAA